rnacentral:rRNA from 1 species
UACGGAGGGGGUUAGCGUUGUUCGGAAUUACUGGGCGUAAAGCGCGCGUAGGCGGAUUGGAAAGUUGGGGGUGAAAUCCCGGGGCUCAACCCCGGAACGGCCUCCAAAACUCCCAGUCUUGAGUUCGAGAGAGGUGAGUGGAAUUCCGAGUGUAGAGGUGAAAUUCGUAGAUAUUCGGAGGAACACCAGUGGCGAAGGCGGCUCACUGGCUCGAUACUGACGCUGAGGUGCGAAAGCGUGGGGAGCAAACUGG